rnacentral:rRNA from 1 species
CGUGCAGGCGGCCUUGUGAGUGGGAUGUGAAAUGCCCUGGCUCAACCAGGGAACCGCAUCUCAGACUGCAAGGCUUGAGUAUAGGAGAGGAUGGGGGAAUUCCCGGUGUAGCGGUGAAAUGCAUUGAUACCGGGAGGAACACCAGUGGCGAAGGCGCCCAUCUGGCCUAAUACUGACUCUCAGGCGCGAAAGCUAGGGGAGCAAACAGGAUUAGAUACCCUGGUAGUCCUAGCCGUAAACGGUGGGCACUAGGUGUAGGAGGCAUCGACCCCUCUGUGCCGCAGCUAACGCAUUAAGUGCCCCGCCUGGGGAGUACGACCGCAAGGUUGAA